CCUACGGGAGGCAGCAGUGGGGAAUAUUGCACAAUGGGGGAAACCCUGAUGCAGCGACGCCGCGUGAGUGAAGAAGGAAUUCGUUAUGUAAAGCUCUAUCAGUAGGGAAGAAAAUGACGGUACCUGAGUAAGAAGCCCCGGCUAACUACGUGCCAGCAGCCGCGGUAAUACGUAGGGGGCAAGCGUUAUCCGGAUUUACUGGGUGUAAAGGGAGCGUAGACGGGUGUGCAAGUCUGGAGUGAAAGGCGGGGGCUCAACCUCCGGACUGCUCUGGAAACUGGACGGCUGGAGUGCAGGAGAGGUAGGUGGAAUUCGUGGUGUAGCGGUGAAAUGCGUAGAUAUUAGGAAGAACGCCGAUGGCGAAGGCAGCUUACUGGACUGUAACUGACGUUGAGGCUCGAAAGCGUGGGGAGCAAACAGGAUUAGAUACCCUAGUAGUC
rnacentral:rRNA from 1 species